UCACUGAGGAAAGGCCCACCAACUGUCCUAGCCUUCAUCACUAAGUCACCCGUGUCGCGGCCCCUCCUGCAUCCCCAAUGCAUUUGCCCUCCGGAAACCCAUCCACUCUUGAUUAGGACCUCCAACUUCCUUGCCCAUCCGCCCUAGGAUAAAGUCUGUAGUUCUCAAUAUGACCGCCAGGUGGCAGCAGACCCUGAGCCCCACACUCCCAGCUCGCACACCUGUGGUGGUCCUAAACCCUUAGUUUUUCUGGCCUGAUUGUAACCCCACUAAUUCAUGGGAAUCCAGAUAGAUCAGCAACUCCGCCAUGCAUUCCACUGACUCCUCCAAAAAGUAAAAACGUGGUUCGGAGGGAGAAAGCCAGCUGCUCAAGGUCACAGUGGCUCAGCUGCCCCCUGAAGCUUCCCGACUGGACAUCGGCUGGACACCCGGAACUCAACAGGGCCGACUGGUCUUCCACUGUGAUCUCUCGCCCAGUUUACCUCCUCAUGUUCAUGGCCGAGAAGCACCGUCAGCCCCCCCACCCCCGACCCAAGCAGAAAUCCCUAACCUGUCUACUUCUCUCUGCUGUAGUCCACACUCCUCCCUUCCCCCACUCUCUUUGUCUCCCCAACACAACAGCCUCGAGCUACCAUGAUCACCCCCACUUCUACAACAGCCAGGUUGAUCUUUGUAAAACUCAAGGGUCUCCUAUUUUAAAA